AUGGAUUCUAUCAUGGCUAAUGGGACAUGGGAGAUCACUGAUCGUCCUUAUGGGUGUAAACCUGUAGGGUGUAAGUGGGUGUUUAAGAAAAAGCUUAGGCCCGAUGGCUUUGUUGCAAACGAAACCGACAAGUGUGUGUACUAUCGCCAUGGUGGGGGCGAAGGAGUUAUAUUAUGUUUGUAUGUUGAUGACAUACUUAUAUUUGGAACAAAUAUCAAGGUCAUUCAGGAAGUGAAAGAUUUUCUGAAUCAAAACUUUGAGAUGAAAGACCUUGGAGUAGCUGAUGUUAUCUUGAACAUCAAGCUUUUAAGAGGUGGUGAUGGUGGGAUCACUCUCUUGCAGUCUCACUAUGUGGAGAAGAUUCUGGAUCGCUUUGGAUAUUCAGAUUGUACUGCGGGUUAUGGGCUUCACUAUACCGGGUAUCCAAGAGUACUUGAAGGUUAUAGUGAUGCAAAUUGGAUAUUUGAUGCUGAUGAGCUUAAAGCGACAAGUGGUUAUGUGUUUACACUUGGUGGUGCUGCUGUUUCCUGGAAGUCUUGCAAGCAGACCAUCUUAACAAGGUCAACAAUGGAAGCAGAACUCACAGCAGUAGACACGGCAACAGUUGAAGCAGAAUGGCUUCGAGAACUUUUGAUGGACUUUCCGGUGGUUGAAAAACCAAUACCAACUAUUCUAAUGAACUGUGAUAAUCAAACAGUGAUCGUCAAGGUAAACAGUUCUAAGGAUAAUAAGAAG
rnacentral:rRNA from 1 species